GAGGGUGUAGCUCAGUGGUAGAGCUCAUGCCUAGCAUGUACAAGGUCCUGGGUUCAAUCCCCAGUACCUCCA
rnacentral:tRNA from 1 species